GUACACGCUGUGACUAGCAUAUCAAUAAGCGGAGGAAAAGAAACUAACAAGGAUUCCCUUAGUAACGGCGAGUGAAGCGGGAAGAGCUCAAAUUUGAAAUCUUGCAAGGUUUACCUUUCACGAAUUGUAGUUUAAAGAAGUGUUUUCUGCUUAAGAUUUGGUAAUAAGUUCUUUGGAAUAGGACAUCAUAGAGGGUGAGAAUCCCGUAUGAUUGACCAUUAUUUGUCAGCUUUGUGAUACACUUUCAAAGAGUCGGAUUGUUUGGGAAUGCAGUCCCAAAAUGGGAUGGUAAAUUUCAUCUAAAGCUAAAUAUUGGCGAGAGACCGAUAGCGAACAAGUACCGUGAGGGAAAGAUGAAAAGAACUUUGAAAAGAGAGUUAAACAGUACGUGAAAUUGUCAAAAGGGAAGCGUUUGACACCAGUGUUGUUUUUCUCGAAAAUCAAUUAAAAAUGAGUUGGAUUUUGUAUUGUGAUUGACCUUAACAGCUUCACUGCUACAUCUUUUCGCUGUCUUUUUUUAAUGCACUUUUCGUUUAACAAGUCGACAUCAGUUUCUUUUGUUGUAAAAGGGUCAUUGGAAGGUGGCUUUCUUUUCGGAGAAAGUGUUUAUAGCCUUUGAGCCUCUGCAAUCGGAGAGACUGAGGUCCUGCAGCGUAGACUCCUUCGGGGUUAGAUACAUUUGUGCUAAGUUAUAGCUUUUUCAUAGACAACUUGUUGACUAUAAUUUAGUCAUGUAGCUUACUCGCUUAUGCUAUUUUACCUACGCUUAGGAUGUUGACGCAUGAGAUAUACGC
rnacentral:rRNA from 1 species